rnacentral:rRNA from 1 species
UACGGAGGAUGCGAGCGUUAUCCGGAUUUAUUGGGUUUAAAGGGUGCGUAGGCGGAUUGAUAAGUUAGAGGUGAAAUGUCCGAGCUCAACUCGGGAACUGCCUCUAAUACUGUUGAUCUAGAGAGUAGAUGCGGUAGGCGGAAUGUAUGGUGUAGCGGUGAAAUGCUUAGAGAUCAUACAGAACACCGAUUGCGAAGGCAGCUUACCAAUCUAUAUCUGACGUUGAGGUACGAAAGCGUGGGGAGCAAACAGG